rnacentral:lncRNA from 1 species
UUUGUGCUGCAGAGGCGGGGACGGGGAGGGGCAGUGUCACAGGUGCUGAGCAAGACCCCUCCUUGCUCUUCUCGUGCUGCAGACCCCCACAUCCAGCGUUUCCUCAGCCUCCUGCCCCGCCCCGUGCCUUCCCCUUAGGAUGCUUAGUCUCCUGUUUGUCCUGCUGGUCAUGCGCUGUCCCCUCCUCCAGGAGCCUUCCCUUGCUCUCCAGGCCUCUGCACAGCGCUUCCGAGUGGUGCCGGCUGGCUCUGCCCCGGCCUGCAGAAAGGCCCCCAACCUUCCCAUCAAAUACAUUUUCCAAAUGCCAAGUGGGUCGGGCGCUGAUGGUCAUCUUCCCAGCUAUUCAGAAGUCUGUGCCUGCAGCCCUUCUGGCAGAAGACUGGGCAGACCUGUGUGCGGGUGUGGAUGACACACACGCGUGUCCCUACACGUGCCAACAAACAGGGAUCCUGGGGAAAUGCAGAUCCUGAUCUGGGCGGCAGGACUCAG